rnacentral:rRNA from 1 species
GACGAACGCUGGCGGCGUGCUUAACACAUGCAAGUCGAACGGAAAGGCCCUGCUUUUGUGGGGUGCUCGAGUGGAGAACGGGUGAGUAACACGUGAGUAACCUGCCCUUGACUUUGGGAUAACUUCAGGAAACUGGGGCUAAUACCGGAUAGGAGCUCCUGCUGCAUGGUGUGGGUUGGAAAGUUUCGGCGGUUGGGGAUGGACUCGCGGCUUAUCAGCUUGUUGGUGGGGUAGUGGCUUACCAAGGCUUUGACGGGUAGCCGGCCUGAGAGGGUGACCGGCCACAUUGGGACUGAGAUACGGCCCAGACUCCUACGGGAGGCAGCAGUGGGGAAUAUUGCACAAUGGGCGGAAGCCUGAUGCAGCAACGCCGCGUGCGGGAUGACGGCCUUCGGGUUGUAAACCGCUUUCGCCUGUGACGAAGCGUGAGUGACGGUAAUGGGUAAAGAAGCACCGGCUAACUACGUG